rnacentral:rRNA from 1 species
UACAGAGGUCUCAAGCGUUGUUCGGAUUCAUUGGGCGUAAAGGGUGCGUAGGCGGCGCGGUAAGUCGGGUGUGAAAUCUUGGAGCUUAACUCCGAAACUGCAUUCGAUACUGCCGUGCUUGAGGACUGGAGAGGAGACUGGAAUUUACGGUGUAGCGGUGAAAUGCGUAGAUAUCAAGAGGAAUACCUGAGGUGAAGACGGGUUGCUAGGCCGACACUGACGCUGAAGCGCGAAAGCCAGGGGAGCAAACGGG